CAGAGGCAGACAGCCCAUAAU
rnacentral:snRNA from 1 species